rnacentral:rRNA from 1 species
UACGAAGGGGGCUAGCGUUGUUCGGAUUUACUGGGCGUAAAGCGCACGUAGGCGGGUUGCCAAGUCGGGGGUGAAAUCCUGGAGCUCAACUCCAGAACUAGCCUUCGAUACUGGCGACCUUGGAGUCCGGGAGAGGUGAGUGGAACUGCGAGUGUAGAGGUGAAAUUCGUAGAUAUUCGCAAGAACACCAGUGGCGAAGGCGGCAUCA